CAGUCGCCGCGGUAAAACGGAGGGUGCAAGCGUUAAUCGGAAUUACUGGGCGUAAAGCGCACGCAGGCGGUCUGACAAGUCAGAUGUGAAAUCCCCGGGCUUAACCUGGGAACUGCAUUUGAAACUGUCAGGCUGGAGUCUUGUAGAGGGGGGUGGAAUUCCAGGUGUAGCGGUGAAAUGCGUAGAGAUCUGGAGGAAUACCGGUGGCGAAGGCGGCCCCCUGGACAAAGACUGACGCUCAGGUGCGAAAGCGUGGGGAGCAAACAGGAUUAGAGACCCCAGUAGUCCCUGUCUCUUAUAC
rnacentral:rRNA from 1 species